AUUCGUUUCGGCAGCACAUGUACUAUAAUUGGAAUGAUAUAGAAAAGAUUAGCAUUGCCCUUGUGCAAGAAUGACCUGCAAAUAUGAGGUGUUCCAUGUUUUG